rnacentral:tmRNA from 2 species
GGGGGCGAAAAGGUUUCGAUCGGGGUAUUUAUAUUCCCGGUGGCAUGCCGAGGGCUCAGGUGGCCUCGUAAAAAACCUGAAUCCAAUAGAUGCAAAAUCGUCUGUUGUAAAAGAGGUUGAAAUACCAACUAAUGUUGUGCCUUUUAAGGCCUUCAAUAUUGGUAUGAUGCCUUUAGCUGCGUAGUUAUACGUAGCCGUCUGACGCUUAACUCGCUUGUAGGUUUUUUGUCGGGCGUUUGAUCAUACGAGCUAGCUUUGUGAUUUUGUCUGAGGUCACUUUGCGAAACUUUAUCAGGCUGAUUCUGCGAUAAGUCCUGUCUUUCGGAAAACGCUAGAAUGACAUUUUUAAAGAAAGACUAAGCAUGUAGGCAUCUAGAAUAUGAUCCUGCGACACGCGAGUUCGAUUCUCGCCGCCUCCACCA